rnacentral:rRNA from 1 species
AGCAGCCGCGGUAAUUCCAGCUCCAAUAGCGUAUAUUAAAGUUGUUGCAGUUAAAAAGCUCGUAGUUGAAUUUCGGGGUUAGUAAGUUGGUCGUGCCACUGGUAUGUACUGGCUUUACUGAUUCCUCCUUCUUGUAGAACCGUAAUGCCAUUAAGUUGGUGUUGCGGGGAAACAGGACUGUUACUUUGAAAAAAUUAGAGUGUUUAAAGCAAGCUAACGCUUGAAUACAUUAGCAUGGAAUAAUGAAAUAGGACGUUCGAUCCUAUUUUGUUGGUUUCUAGGAUUGGCGUAAUGAUUAAUAGGGAUAGUUGGGGGCAUUAGUAUUCAAUUGUCAGAGGUGAAAUUCUUGGAUUUAUUGAAGACUAACUACUGCGAAAGCAUUUGCCAAGGAUGUUUUCAUUAAUCAAGAACGAAAGUUAGGGGAUCGAAGACGAUCAGAUACCGUCGUAGUCUUAACCAUAAACUAUGCCGACUAGGGAUCGGAUGAUGUUAAUUUUAUAAUGACUCAUUCGGCGCCUUA